rnacentral:rRNA from 1 species
GACGAACGCUGGCGGCGUGCCUAAUACAUGCAAGUAGAACGCAGUUGCGAACGGGGGAGGAACGAGUAGGCAACUACACAUUCGAGGGGGAUAACUAUUGGAAACGAUAGCUAAUACCGCAUCCGCGUCGAUGAAACUACGUUGUAUUAGCUAGUAGGUCAGGUAAUGGCCUACCUACGCAACGAUACAUAGCCGAGCUGAGAGGGUGAUCGGCCACACUGGAACUGAGACACGGUCCAGACUCCUACGGGAGGCAGCAGUGGGGAAUAUUGGACAAUGGGCGAAAGCCUGAUCCAGCAAUGCCGCGUGUGUGAAGAAGGUCUUCGGAUUGUAAAGCACUGUAAGUGGGGAGGCGUUACUCACAGAGAAAGCACCGGCUAACUACGUGCCAGCAGCCGCGGUAAUAC